AUACGGAGGAUGCAAGCGUUAUCCGGAUUUAUUGGGUUUAAAGGGUGCGUAGGCGGACAGUCAAGCAGGGGGUGAAAUGCCGGCGCUCAACGCCGGAGCUGCCUUCUGAACUGGCUGUCUGGAGUGGCAGUGCCGUUGGAGGAAUGAGUGGUGUAGCGGUGAAAUGCUUAGAUAUCACUCAGAACACCGAUUGCGAAGGCAUCUGACGAACUGCCCACUGACGCUGAGGCACGAAAGCGUGGGGAUCAAACAGGAUUAGAUACCCUGGUAGUCCACGCCGUAAACGAUGGGCGCUCGUCGUCGGCGGCAGACAGUCGGCGGCCAAGCGAAAGCGAUAAGCGCCCCACCUGGGGAGUACGGUCGCAAGGCUGAAACUUAAAGGAAUUGACGGGG
rnacentral:rRNA from 1 species